rnacentral:lncRNA from 1 species
AAGCUUAAUUCAUUUAGUUCUCCUAACAAGACUAUGUUAUUAUGCCAUUUUUGCAGUUGAAGAAACUAAGGCCCAGAGAGGCUAAGUAACUUGCCCAAGGUCACAUAGUUUGCAGGUAGCAGAACUGAGACUUUGAUAUGCCUGAGGCUUUGUGUCCACCCCCAAAUUUAAUCUUGAAUUUGAAUCCCCAUGAUUCCCAUAAUUCCCAGAUGUCAAAGGAGAGAACAAGUGGAAGUCAUUGACUCAUGGGGGCAGUUUCCCCAACGCUGUUCUCGUGAUAGUGAAAGUUUCCUGAGGACUCCCCAGCCAUGCCGAAUUGGCCUCAGGAAGGGGCAUAUCAGCUCCCAGACCUGUCUUCAAGCUGCCAUCUGGGUCCUCAGAGACCUGAAGAAGAAGCAAUGUGACCAAAUCUAAAUUUCCACAUUGUUUUUGGGCUGCUGAAAGCUGAGAAGGGUCUGCUUGGGGAAAAAUUAAAGAGUCUGUCCCUGGAGAUGAACUUGGUAAGAGAACAGACGGUGCUCUCUUGGGUGUUGAACUUGCUUCCAUCGAGCCAGGACUUCCUGCCAUAGCCCCACGUCUGCCACCAAUGAAGUCCUCCUUUCUUUUCUCCUGUCUGUCCCCUUUCCUUCUCCUUCUCUACAAUUCUUCACUCAUUUGACAUUUUGAAAUAUUCCACUGCUUGUCUAGUCACACCAUCCAAUACUUUCUUGAGCACUUUGAUAUACCAACAAUUAAAUAGUUCUUGGCUCAGUAAUGACUUACUAUGUCAGACUGAAAAAGAAAUACUGUUUCAAUGCAUCUUGCCCCCACAAAUCACCACUCUUUCAAGCCUGCAACAAAUGUCUGUGAUUAAAUGUUCAUUGAAUAAAUAUUUCUAAAAAGUAAAAAAAGUAAAUUUUUUCUAAAAAAAUCUCUAAUUUUUAGAGCAAUAAAAACUAUUUAUGUUAACAAUAUCCCUGUAAAACUGUUUUCAUUUGUCUUAAUAUGUAUCACAUUCAACUAAAUAUUCAUUGUGGGUUCAUUUAUGAGGUAAGGAGACAUUUAAUAUCUCCCCUGCCAAAGGUUCCUCUGAGUGAUCUCUUAGGGAUAAUGUGCAUCUCUGGAGAAUUUUUCUGUUAGCCAUGGAGCAUCACUGUGAUAGCCUAACUUGUGGUAGCCUAAUUGACUCC